rnacentral:rRNA from 1 species
CAGUCGCCGCGGUAACACGAAGGGUGCAAGCGUUACUCGGAAUUACUGGGCGUAAAGCGUGCGUAGGUGGUGGUUUAAGUCCGUUGUGAAAGCCCUGGGCUCAACCUGGGAAUUGCAGUGGAUACUGGAUCACUAGAGUGUGGUAGAGGAUAGUGGAAUUUCCGGUGUAGCAGUGAAAUGCGUAGAGAUCGGAAGGAACAUCUGUGGCGAAGGCGACUAUCUGGGCCAACACUGACACUGAGGCACGAAAGCGUGGGGAGCAAACAGGAUUAGAUACCCGCGUAGUCCCUGUCUCUUAUAA